rnacentral:rRNA from 1 species
UACGAAGGGGGCUAGCGUUGCUCGGAAUCACUGGGCGUAAAGGGUGCGUAGGCGGGUCUUUAAGUCAGGGGUGAAAUCCUGGAGCUCAACUCCAGAACUGCCUUUGAUACUGAAGAUCUUGAGUUCGGGAGAGGUGAGUGGAACUGCUAGUGUAGAGGUGAAAUUCGUAGAUAUUCGCAAGAACACCAGUGGCGAAGGCGGCUCACUGGCCCGAUACUGACGCUGAGGCACGAAAGCGUGGGGAGCGAACAGG